AUCUGGAGUUAUUAGAUU
rnacentral:snRNA from 1 species